GUCUAUGGCCAUGCUACCCUGAACAAGCCCAAUCCCAUCUGAUCUCGGAAGCUAAGCAGGGUCGGGUCUGGUUAGUACUUGGAUGGGAGACCAUCUAGGAUGACCAGGUGCUAUAGGCA
rnacentral:rRNA from 1 species